UUCCUACGGGGGGCAGCAGUGGGGAAUAUUGCACAAUGGGGGAAACCCUGAUGCAGCGACGCCGCGUGAGCGAUGAAGUAUUUCGGUAUGUAAAGCUCUAUCAGCAGGGAAGAAAAUGACGGUACCUGACUAAGAAGCCCCGGCUAACUACGUGCCAGCAGCCGCGGUAAUACGUAGGUGGCAAGCGUUGUCCGGAUUUACUGGGUGUAAAGGGCGUGUAGCCGGGCUGACAAGUCAGAUGUGAAAUCCGGGGGCUCAACCCCCGAACUGCAUUUGAAACUGUUGGUCUUGAGUAUCGGGGAGGG
rnacentral:rRNA from 1 species